UUUUUCUCAACGUCCAGAAAUUGUUAUUGAUGAUACGAUAUCAUCUAUAGAUGAUGUAAAAAUAUAUAUGGAAAUUCUGCAAGCCACUAUUUUAUGUGAAGGAACUCGCAUACACUAUAGAGAAUUUGCACCAAACUGCACUGGGCAGGUACCCACAAAUUAUUAUAAGCGUUGGCGGCAGAAUCCACAAUGUCCAUGGUGUCGAAGUCUACGUCAACGACUUCUGCGAAAAAAGGGUAUUGAUGCCAGUAAAUUCAAAGUGCAAAAAGCUCAGAAAGCCAUUGAAAGAUUCAAAAAACGGUGUCAUCGACUUUCUCUAAAAAAGGAGAUACUGGAACAGCAGCUUAGAAUUGCAAAGGCAGAGUGUGCUCAACGUUCCGAGGAAAUUAU